GAUGAACGCUAGCUACAGGCUUAACACAUGCAAGUCGAGGGGAAACGAUGAGAGAGCUUGCUCUCUUAGUCGUCGACCGGCGCACGGGUGAGUAACGCGUAUCCAACCUACCUCUGACCAAGGGAUAACCCGUCGCAAGUCGGACUAAUACCUUAUGCAGUCGUCGGAAGGCAUCUGAUGACGACGAAAGAUUUCAUCGAUGAAUGGUGGGACUGCGUCUGAUUAGCUUGUUGGCGGAGUAACGGCCCACCAAGGCGACGAUCACUAGGGGUUCUGGGGGGCAGCCCCACUAGAACGGAACCGCGACCCGGUCCAAACUGCUACGGGACGCAGCGGUAAGGAAUAUUGGUGGCUGGGCGUAAGCGUGAACCAGCCAAGUAGCGUGCAGGAGUACUGCGCUAGGGGUUGUAUACUGCUUUUAUGGAGGGAUAGAGUGAGUGACGGGUCACUCAUUGCAGGUACCGAAUGAAUAAGGACCGGCUAACUCCGUG
rnacentral:rRNA from 1 species